CCACAGUGGCUGAGAGCUUUGUACAGGGG
rnacentral:piRNA from 1 species